rnacentral:pre_miRNA from 1 species
GCUUUCAACUGAAAAAGUCAUCAACAACAAAAUUGUAUAACUCAUCAAGAUCUAAAACUUUAUUUUUGUCAUUUCUUUAUCCGAUAAAGUGUUAGUAACAUUGUUCACAAAUUUUACAUAUAUGUGUUAUAGUUUAUAAAAACAAAUAAGAGAUAUGUCAAUUUUGUGAACAAUGUUACUAUCACUUUGUCGGAUGAAGAAAUGAUCAAAAUAAAAGUUUUAGAUCUUGAUGAGUUAUUCAACUUUGUUGUUGAUAACUUUUUCAGUUGAAAUC